GGUUCCAAUUGCUACUUGCAGCUCCACCGCAAGGUAUUUUCCUCCUCCCGCAAGCCCACCGUGUCUACCACUCACCUAUGCGAGCGGGUGUUUUCCUCUUGUCGGCAUAAAGAGUGAGUACCGAUUGGGUCUCAACACCAAUACGCUACAGAGUCGCACUUUAUUUGCAGUAGUGUGAGCGCGAGCAAAAAAAUAAAAGCUCGCCAGACGUUCAUCAUGUGCCCAUGGAUGAAUCAUGGUGGAAGUGUUGCCAAACUGGAAGAGCAUUACUAUGUUCGGUUUUUUUCGUGCUCGGUCGGACCAUUUAGAUUAUUAAAAACCUCAGCUAUCGGCGCGAAGAGAUUAUUCUGUCCGAAACACUAGUCGGAAUAGCAGUGCGCGUCGGAAAAGUAAUAGUUAAUUUUUUUAAUCGCAUGCAUAGUUAAGUACAAAAAUACAGCAUGCAAGGUUAGAAGAAGUUAGUGGUGCAAAAUUAUUGUAUAAGGUAUUGUUAAACUUUUUGUUAAUUUGUGAGAAGCAGAUUUCGUGCGAAGAAAAUUGUGAAGAAAAAGUUAAUUAAGCGGUUACAUUGAGCCUUUUGGUAAAAACGUGAAAGUGACGUCACUAGAGACUAAUGAUGGGGUAGGUCCUUCUGGUGGGCCUUUUUCUUUUCUAUUACUUCUUGGCGGAGCAAGAGCGCCGUUUUCUUCGACAGGAUCCCCUCGGCCAUUUUCCCGAAAGAGCGCACCGAAAAGUGACCCGACACGCCAGUUUUAGGACAGAAUUGGGAAAAGCGCCCGACACGUGGUUCGCCGGCCGUGUAUUCCAUUGUUCGGCCACUGUGGAGAGCCGAAUCACCACCAUCUUGUCGACCAUUCGCAUAUCCUGCCAAGUUGCCUCGCUCCCCGCCAACUACGCCCCGCCAUUAUCAUCGACCAUUGUCCGGUCGAUCGAGAAACCACACCUACCAAGCAGUUCUCCUACGAAUAUCCUGUGAUCCGAUUGGGACCAUUGGAUUCACGCUGGAACUCGCGAAUUCAGCCUACAAAGAAACACCAGCCAACUGUCAGUCACCGUCAUCCGCCCGACGGCGGCCACCAGGAGCUCGCCCCCCCAAGCGGCGGUUUCCAGAAGUGAUCUGCAGCCUCGACUUUCAUCCCGCACCAACGGCGGCCACCAAGAGCUUCCAUCUACGCCCCGCUGUCGGUGGACACGCCAGCGACCACCAGAAACCCACCACCACCGCUACCUCCGCCAUUCACCGCCAUUCCAGAACCGGCAAGUACCCCAUUCAUACGUUGUGACGUCACUCAAAAUGCCAUAAUUGGCCAAUAAAUAGCAUGUAAACUAAAUUGAUUUGUAGGUAGCACAUUCCGUUCAAGAUUCAACUGUCCAUUAGAUUUCUCCACCACUUUUUCCCUUUGUUUCGCCAUAUCGGACUCAAAAGGGAGUCAUCAGGCCUCGCCUACUGUGUUUCGGCAAAACAUCUUUUCUUCCGCCAGCUUUUGAGCCCCCCCCCCCCUAGGUACGGCACUGUUUGGCAAUUCAUUCCACCUUGUCACAUUGGUGGGCACGUGUCGCGCAACACACGUGCAUGUGUAGCUCCUACUACAGGUGAGUACCUCUGCGAGCGUGUAGUGUUGAGAUCUAAGGUAAACGACCCUGUAAUUGUCACCUUUUCCUAGCCUCGGUGAGCAAGCGG